CCCUGCUCUCCAUCCUGAGCAAAUUUGGAAGAAUCAAUACACUGUUGCCUGUUAAGACAGAGGAAAAAAAUGAAAAGGAGCCUAGCUGACACUCCAACUCGUAGCACAGCAGGUUAUCUGCCUGUACCUCUGUUCAAUCAGAAAAAACGAAAUAGGCAGCCCCUGACUUCAAAUCCACUUAAAAAUGAGACAGGAACCAGUUCUGGAACUUGUACUUAUGACUUUUCUCCCACAUCAUACGGCUGGGGAUCUGCAAACCCAGAGGAGGCUGAAUUACAGAAAGCAGCAAACAGUGGGGCAGAAGAGAAGAGUCCCAGUGCUAAAGUUUGGAAUAGAAAUGCGUAUGCUCCUUUAAGUAACACGAAAGAUUCAAGACCUGAGAGUGGAAUUAUUCGAAAGUUUGACAGCCUUUCAUAUAGUGUGAAAACCAUUCAGCAGCAAAAACCCCCUAAUAAUCGUAAUUCAUCCCAACUUCUGAAAACAACAGAAACCAGCCAAACAUCAACAUCUAAAGGUCAAUGGCCAAUGAAACCUACCACUGUUUCAAGAAGUCUGCAGGAUUAUAGUCUGGCAUAUAAAUUUACCUACAAUAUCCAGCAAAAUAAAAUAAAUGAAAACAAAUUUGACUGUGUUCCAGAAGACAAAUGUCAGGAAUUUUCAUCAUCUCAAUUAAAAAUUAAAGAAAAAAAGAAUUCUUUGCGUAUCAUAUCUGCAGUCAUUGAAAGUAUGAGGCACUGGAGUCAAUAUGCUUAUAAAACACCACUGCUAUUUGAAGUUUUAGGCACCCUGGAUUCUGCAGUCACACCUGGAACAUAUGGGGCUAAGAAUUUCCUUUUGAGGGAUGGAAAGGAGAGUCUGCCUUGUGUAUUUUAUGAAAUCGUCCUCAUCACCUGCAUUCUCACCAGUAACUCACAGCUACUGCUGACUUCAAGGCAGUCUGAAGCCCAGUUCACGUGCAUUGGUUCAACUGUUAUUGCUCCAUGGUUGCCUGGACUCAGGUCACUCAGUCAACUGCUCAGUUCCUGAAUUCACACAGUGUUCUACUGGAGCCCAGCCUGGUGUCAGAACAGCAGCCGGCCGUGGGAAGCCUCACAAGGAAGCAGCCUGUUCCCUGCCACUUGCAAGUCAAACUGGUAACAUUUUUCAUCUCAGCACAUGGAAAUAGCCUCCCAGCUCCUGGGACUCUGCCUGGGCAGCUGUCAGGACUGGAAACACAGGAGAUGCUGAGACCCCUUCACGCUGGCCACAAGCAGCAAGCACAAGAAGACACAAAGGGGACAAGUUCCCUCCAGUGCAUCAACGCUGAGCUCAACAUGCUCUGCUCCCCACUGCCCCUGCAGCUGGGAGGGUUCAGUCAGGGGAAUGAGCCCUGCUCCAGAGGAUCCCUGCUCCAGGAAAGGCAUUUGGCUGCUGCCUGUAAGCACCUGACUGGUUUAAUCCACUUUCAGUGCAGAGCUCUGACAAGCCCCCAGCAGAACUAGGGCAGCUAAAAAUACUCAGUGCACAAAGAAAGUAAUUUGGUUAGGACUGAAGUGAUCUAUCUCAAAUCAAAAAUGUGCAAAAUGUGGUCUCAUCAGGUCAAGCAUCAGAAAAGGAACAAAAGUGUGAACUAGUCACAGGGCUUAAGAAAAGCAGCAAAAUCUGAAGAUUUUGCUAAACGCCACAGCAAGAACAGAAGGGCCUGUACCAGAAUCACAGGGAGGUGCCUGCUCAUUUCUCCACCAUACGCUGACUUUACCUUUACUGUCAGUCUAAAUUCUGCCAAUUAUUAAAUUAUCCAACAUGCAGCAGGAACGCAGCUCGAUGGGAUCCAAAUGGUGUCACUACAAUUAUGGUAAUUAUCUGAAAACAAGCCAAUUACUCCCCUCCUUUUCGUGCCAGUUGGUACCAACAUAGCAGCUGUUCGAGGCAAAUUUGUUACCACGUUACUGUACAUUUGUUAAAGGUUGAGGUUGUAGAUUCUAACCCUCUUAAAUAUUCAAAAUGCAAUAAAGUCGUGGAGCGUAUACUGAAGUAGGAUUUUUUUAAAUGUUGGAAAGGGAGGAAUUUCUUUUAUAUGCCAAGAGAACUGGUGGGAAAGUGAUUUACUAACGAUUGCUGGCUGGAAAUGUGUACUUUGCAAUCAGCAUAGAACUGAGCUAUAAAUUAAACUCUGUCAGCUUGUUACCUCUACCCAUGUAAAAUGAGUUAAAUGCAGACGUUUACUGAGGAUCUUAUAUAUUUCCCUUUCUUCAGUUUUGGCAUUUGGGAUGCUCAACACAUCCAGAGGCAUCCUGCAGGAUUGGCCCCUGCAUUGGAUUCACUUUCAGCAACUCAUUCAAUUUGUCAAGUGCUUUGGCUCAUUAAAUCAUGGGAGAAGCAGCAACACUCUUACGGAGAGUGAAGGCAAAGGAUGGCUCAGCUCUGCACACAUCCCUGUGAGCACUGCCCCAGGCAAAGCAAAUUGGGCCAACAUUGGGCAGAGGAAACUCUUAGCCCACAUGAAGAGGCUCCUGAAAAGAUGUUAUCAGAUAUCUUUCAUUCUGAACCUGUUCAUAUGAAGGACAGCCUUGCUUAGACUGGUGAAGGUUUCAUAACAUAUAAAACCCCCAAUUUGCAACUACUGCCAGAGGUCCAAAUGGACCCUUGGUCCACAGAUUAGCGUGACCUCUCAUUUUUCACAGACCUUCCUUGUAGAAACUAGAAUCUUCCAUCUCAUGUUUGCUACCAUAUCCUCCCUUGGGCUGACCUUAAAUAAUUUUUCAUGUGAUGUUUUGAAAUCUUUGGCUUUGAUGUGCAUAAAACACUUCUUUCAAUAAAUGUCAUGAGCAGAUUAAAGAAAAUUAAACGGCGGAAAGAAGAGGUAACUACCUUCUGGCUUGAACAGCAUCUUCAUGACAACUGCAUGAAUCAGCUAUGAAAAAUGUGUGUUUCCCUCUUUGUGCUCAUGAUACGUGCCAGUGGGUUAUGUUUAUAGCUGUAGGCUUAACAUACACCCCCUGCAUCUGUGUAAUUCCCUGCAGCUCAUGUGCAGCUACACAGUCAAGGCACAGGGCAGAGCUUAGUACCUGUGAGCAGGUUAGUGGCAUUACCUGCUGCUUUGCUUGAAAUAAUUAGCCUUGCUCACAGAUGACCUUCACAGCAAGCCCUAAAGGCUGACAGAUUUGGGCUGUAUUGGAGCAACAGAGAAGCACAUUUCAGAGAGCUCCUCCUUGAGAAACCUCUGCUACUCACUCCACCAUCAGUCCAAAGGAACUGGAGGUGGGCAUCAUGGUGCCCAUGCACCUGGAGCAAGGUUUCUCACUGCUACAGACCAGAGGGUACUGAUGCAAUCACCUUCCUGGACAACCCUGGUACCUCCCUGCUAUUCUUAACUAUCUGCUUUCCAUUUUCCUUUCCCAGAAGCUCCCUGUUGCUGUCAGAGUGACAUGCCAGGACUCUCUGCAUUUGGGGCUGUGACCAGUUCCUGCUAACUUGGCAAUAUGUGAAAUACCACCUCUUCCAAGAAAGUGGAAUACACCACAAUGGUGAUCCAAGGCAAGCAGAAAGGCAGGAGUGACAUGUUGCAGCCUUGCUCAGCUCCAUCCCUUCCACACAGUAACUCAGGCUGUUAAAUGCCUGGCCAGAGCUCACCAUCUGCUUCCAGUCUUCUAGGAAUACUGCUGCAUAAUUCAAUCAAAAAGGAGAAGAUCCUUGUUUCACUGAAUCAUCUGUUCCUUACCAGCAAAGAAGUACGACUCAGCAUAGAUUCAGAUGGGAAAGCAGAGCAAAACAUUUCCAAGCCAGCGCUUGCCUGGGAGCUGUGCUAUGUGCCCACACAAGGACAGAGACCUCUGCCAGACUACCUGCAUUAUCAAACUGUGCAAGAAGGAAGUGGGAUCUGGCCCAGAGCCACUGCUCACACAUCCACUCUCAGGGCUGGUUCCCCAAUUUACCCAGCACCUCCUGCCAGUUACUCAUUCAGGAUACUGAAACCAAAUGCUCAUCUACAGCAAGCAAAGCAGGACUGAAAUGCCCCACAUCCCCGUGAGGGGUCUGACCCAGCUAUCUGGGAUCCUGCUGGCCAUCUGGGGCUGUGGUGUUGGAAAGGCCCAUUUUGUCUGACCUUCAUAGCUCCUAUCUCUGUGCCUUCUCUUAAAGCAGGACUGGCUGAUGCACCAGCACAGCCGUUUUUAACUGCCUGGGCAAUUUGCAACACAAAGGACAGUGAGCAGCUGCAGCGCAGAUUUAUCACCUUGCUCACCAAGGCUAGGCCAACACAUCUCCGCUGUACAGCAACAGCAACGCCCCAGAAUGACUUUCCAGGUGAAUCUACAGAUAGCGUGAGCUUCAUCUAAUCUCAGGAGGACAGAUUUUGAAGCAUAUAGGGACUCACUGCUUCAUCCUAAAUCUGGCAUCAACUUUCAGGUUUCAGGGCAGCAUGCUGAUGCUGACAGACGGCUGUAUGUGCUGCCCUCAUUGCUGUGUCCUGACAGGUCCUUGUCCAUACCCACGUUCAGUUGGCUGUUACAUUAGUGAGGAUCCAACCAGCCCAGCAAACAUUUACAUCUGACACAAAAGCCAGCGUC